rnacentral:lncRNA from 1 species
AUGUUUUUUGAUGGUUUUAAUUAAUAUGAAACAGAUUUUAUGAAAACAUUCCAAAUUUUAUUUUAUAAAUACUACACUGGCAUGUGUUUCUGCUUUUGUUUUGAAAGGUAGUGCAACUUCCAUCUUUUAUUACUGAAAUUUCAAAGCUUGUCAUUCUGCUUUGGAUAACUUAUGUGUUUUUAAAGAAUUUAAUUACUGAGUAGAAUUCCUGGAACAAUCCAGUUGUCAAACAAAUGUUUUAAUUGAUGAGGAAAGGUGGUUAUGGUUGAGCUGUAGAAAACAGAUUUGUUAAUGAAAGUUGGAGUAAGAGGACAAUAAUGUUGAAUGUGCUAUUGCUGUUUUAAAGGCUGUGCUCUAGGCUUGUGUGUGUGUGUGUGUGUGUGUGUGUGUGUGUGUGUGUGUAAACUUUGACAUC